rnacentral:rRNA from 1 species
GCCAUGUCUUCCUCCGGCUCCUUCUCGCCUAGCCUCAACAACCAGGUCACAGAGAAGUUAUCACGCACGAACUAUGUGCUGUGGCGCACGCAGAUCACACCUCAGCUGCGCGGUGCCGGCGUCUUCGGCUACAUCGACGGCACCAAUCCGGAGCCGGCCAAGCUCCUCGUCACCACCAAGGAAGGCAAGGAGACUUCAUCGCCCAACCCUCUCCACCCUAUAUGGGUACGGGAGGAUCAGCAGGUCCUUGGCUACCUGCUGAACAACCUCACGAAGGAGGUCCUGGUCACGGUGACCACGGUCACCACGGCGGGCGCGCUCUGGACGACGCUCGCGGCCAUGUUCUCGUCGCAGUCGGCGAGUCGCAUCAACAACAUCCGCACCUCCCUCAUCAAUGCGCAAAAGGGAAACCUCUCGGUGGCCUCCUACUUCGCCGCCAUGCGUGGCUAUGCCGAUGAGCUGGCCGCGGCUGGCAAGCCAAUCCAGGACGACGAGCUCAUCUCGUACAUCAUCCAUGGGUUGGAGGCGGACUAUCAACCUCUGGUGUCGGCUCUCGACGCCCGAGUUACUCCUGCGACCCUCGACGAGCUCUUCGCCAUGUUGUCCAACUUCGACCAACGCAUGGCCCAAUUC